CCAUUGUGAAUUGAAUUAGGGUCUGAAAAGCUCAGAUAUUGUGUGUUGUCAUCAGCUUCAUCUCUUAACUGCCCACGAGAUAGGAGUUAAAUAACAGCACUAAAUUU
rfam:Jatropha curcas cultivar GZQX0401 scaffold905_18, whole genome shotgun sequence.